rnacentral:rRNA from 1 species
UGGGGAAUAUUGGACAAUGGGGGGCAACCCUGAUCCAGCCAUGCCGCGUGAGUGAUGAAGGCCUUCGGGUUGUAAAGCUCUUUUGGCGGGGACGAUGAUGACGGUACCCGCAGAAUAAGCCCCGGCUAACUUCGUGCCAGCAGCCGCGGUAAGACGAAGGGGGCUAGCGUUGUUCGGAAUUACUGGGCGUAAAGCGAGUGUAGGCGGUUGCCGUAGUCAGGUGUGAAAGCCUUGAGCUCAACUCAAGAAAUGCACUUGAUACUGGGUGACUAGAGGACCGGAGAGGAUAGUGGAAUUCCCAGUGUAGUGGUGAAAUACGUAGAGAUUGGGAAGAACACCAGUGGCGAAGGCGGCUAUCUGGACGGUUACUGACGCUAAGACUCAAAAGCGUGGGGAGCAAACAGGAUUAGAUACCCUGGUAGUCCACGCCGUAAACGAUGGGUGCUAGACGUUGGCGAGCUUGCUCGUCAGUGUCGCAGCUAACGCGUUAA